GAUUUAAAAAGAGUUGCAGAGAUUUCUAUAUUUUUCUGUGUCAUAAUGUAUGCUAUGCAUUAUGUGUGUGUACUGCUGUAUGUGUAAAAGUUGGUUGUGCUUAUUUGUGUUAUUUAAAAUCACAACGUAAUUUUCACCUAAGCACAAACAACAGAUGAAAAGAUGAUGCAGUGUUCAUUGCUUCCUAUGAAGUCCAAAUUAAAGUUGUUCUGUGGCAAGAUCAUGACUUAAGAGAAUAACCAUACUUAUCUAAUAUGUUAGUUUCUCAGGCAAUGUAAGUAUAAUGGCUGAAAAAUGAAUUGGUGGUCUUUUCUGUGGCACCUUGUGCAUCAUCAGGUCCCUGCAACCUAAGGGAUGUCUCCCUCUCCUCACCUUCCUGAGAAAUAGACUCAAGUGUACACUGACUGGAGAGGGGGUAGAGAAGAUAAUGUAGCAGUGCUGGGUCAGAAUCCACAGCAAGGUUCAAGCUGAUGCUGCAAGUCUUGCUGGAUUCAUGGAUAUGUGUGAGAUGGAGCAAACAUCAGCAUCAAGCCAACAGCAUACAAAAAUUAGCUUCAUCUUAUAUAAGAGGCAAGAUAGACAUAAAGAGAAGAAUGAACUCCCUGACAUCCUUCUUUGUGACCCAGAGCUGAUACCGUUCGGAGAAAUGCACUGUUACAGGUGUGGACUGUGGACUUCACCCUGGAGGAGCAGCAGGACCUGGACACUUUAAAAGGUUUAAUAUUAUCUGUACCGCUUGUGUAGCCCCUGCAUUUCCAGGCAAAAGAAGGAAAUCAUUUUGCUGAUGGAGCAACUGUGUUCAGCAUUAAGCAGCACAAUCCUUUGUCUCUGACCCAGGUGAAAAUACAAAAUCCCCAGGAUAUUCAAACAUGCCGCCUUCUUACAAUUGGUAUGUAGUAAACCCUGCAGGGUUUUCACCCUGCCAGCCAACAGACAAGAGCAUGUGGGUGGUAAAUCUGAACUGGCUCUUCCUGGGCUUGGCUUACAUGCACAGCAGGGGUUGUAUGACUGUCCCAGAGGCAUCAGCAGAGUCCAAAGAGGAUCCAUAUGUGAGUAUGGUGGUUGAUAGCAAGGUUCAGAGAUUGUAGGGUCUUGGUGGGGAGGCAUCCUUGCCACAUGCUAGCAUCACAGCACUGCUUCUUUCCUACAUGAAGAUGGGGAGAAUUACCCCUUCCUGUCUCCACCUUCUCCAUUUUACUGUUUAUUUCUUCUGCUUUCUUGUUUUGGCUUGAGUUUUCUCUGAAAAAAUUUUUUUAGCUUCAAAUGUUAGAAUUAUAGCUAUGCCACAGUGCUGGCCCCUCAAGUUUUAUCCUGCUAUGGAAUGCAUGGAACAUUUCUCUGUAUUAAUACAAAAAAAACUUUUUAAAAAGUUUUAAUCCUAUACAGAUUAUAUUGUUCUUUAUUUUUUUUAGUGUAACCUGAUAAUAUUUGCCUUUAUAAAUAUUCAACUGAAAAAUAGUUGUAGAUACUUUAGGGUAUGAUGUGAUCAUUUGAUGAAUGCUAAUUCUGGGAUUUUCAAAUGAGAAUUAUUCACAUUCUCUCCUUUUUUUUUUUUUUUUUUUGACAGGCAGAGUGGACAGUGAGAGAGAGAGACAGACAGAAAGGUCUUCUUUUGCCAUUGGUUCACCCUCCAAUGGUUGCCGCAGGCAGCGCGCUGCGGCUGGUGCACCACGCUGAUCCGAAGGCAGGAGCCAGGUGCUUCUCCUGGUCUCCCAUGGGGUGCAGGGCCCAAGCACCUGGACCAUCCUCCACUGCACUCCCUGGCCACAGCAGAGAGCUGGCCUGGAAGAGGGGCAAGUGGGACAGAAUCCGGCACCCCGACUGGGACUAGAACCCGGUGUGCCAGUGCCGCAAGGUGGAGGAUUAGCCUAUUGAGCCACGGCACUGGCCCAGAAUUAUUCACAUUCUUCACCUCAUAUAUUAUGGUGAGAACAUUUAAAAACCUCUACAAGAAAUUUGAAAUAUGAAAUGCAACAUUAUAAUCUCAUUCAUGGUGUCUAGGGGAAACUUUGUGCAUAUUUACCAAUGUGUCCCCUUUAUCCUUACUCCACCAUUCUUCUCUCUAACAUGCAUUCCAGAUUUUUAGUGAGAUAAUAUUUGUCCUUUUGUGUCCUUCUGGGUUUGUCACUUCACAUGAUAAUCUCUAUAUUCACAUAAAUUGUCAAAAGUGACAGAAUUUCACUAUGGAAGGCUCAGUGGAACCCCAUUGUGUUUAUGUGGCACAUUUCAAGUCUAUUCAUGUGUAGGCAGAUAUGUCCACUGUUUUUACAUCUAACAUUCUGAGUAAUGUGUAAUACACAUGAGAAUAUAGGCAGCUCUUCAUUAUACUGGUUCUAUGUCUUUCAUUUAUAUACCUUAGUAGAGGAUUGUUAAAACUAAUGGUAUUUCUGUUUAAGUUUAUGCUAUUUGCCAAGCUGUCUGUUUUAAUACACAAUUGCAUAUGGUACAAUGAGUCUCUUAGUGGUGAAACAUAAUUUAGUAGGCUAUUUGUAAGCUGAGGAGGGACUAACAAUGACCUAAUUUCAUUCAAAAUAUCACCUCAUGUCAGCUUCAGCAAUUCACUCCCCAAAUGUCUGAAACAGCUGUGUAGGGCCAGGCCAAAGCCAGGAGACUGGGACUCCAUCCACGUCUCUACUUGGGUGGCAGAGAUCCAAGAACUUGGGCCAUCUUCCACUUCUUUUUUAGGAGCCGUAGCAGGGAGUAGCACCAGAAGUGGAGUAGCCAGGACCUUAACCAUAUGAGAUGCUGGGAUCACUGAAGCAUCACUGCAAUUUUACUCUAUCUUGCCUCCAGCUGGGGAAUGUUUCCCUCACCACAACCUUGAUGGUCAAUUGGUCAAUGCCUGUAUUGAGUUACUAUAGACCCACAAGGGGAUAAUUGAGAUGUGACAGAGCUUAGCACAAGACAUUGCCUUGCAUCACACAAAGAAAUAGAUGUGGUGUAAUAAACAGACUGGGUAUAGAAAACUACA
ensembl:lncRNA